UUUAUGGAGAGUUUGAUCCUGGCUCAGGAUGAACGCUGGCGGCGUGCCUAAUACAUGCAAGUCGAGCGAACGGACGAGAAGCUUGCUUCUCUGAUGUUAGCGGCGGACGGGUGAGUAACACGUGGAUAACCUACCUAUAAGACUGGGAUAACUUCGGGAAACCGGAGCUAAUACCGUCUUUCA
rnacentral:rRNA from 1 species